AGAGCAAUAGGGAAUGAAGUUCUCCCUAGACAGUGUAUGUCAAAACCGCAAUUAUUUUGCUGAUGACUUCUACCACCAU
rnacentral:ncRNA from 2 species